rnacentral:rRNA from 1 species
GAUGAACGCUGGCGGCGUGCCUAAUACAUGCAAGUCGAACGCGAAAGGGAUUCGUCCCCAGUAGCGUGGCGUCCGGGUGAGUAACACGUAGGAAACCUUGCCUAGAGUGGGGGAUAACGUCCCGAAAGGGACGCUAAUACCGCAUAAGCCCACGUCGGCCUCGGCCGAUGCGGGAAAAAGAUGGCCUCUGAAUUCAAGCUAUCGCUCAAGGAUGGUCCUGCGGCGCAUCAGCUAGUUGGUGGGGUAACGGCCUACCAAGGCGAAGACGCGUAGCUGGUCUGAGAGGAUGAUCAGCCACACUGGCACUGAAACACGGGCCAGACUCCUACGGGAGGCAGCAGUGGGGAAUAUUGGACAAUGGGCGCAAGCCUGAUCCAGCCACGCCGCGUGAGUGAUGAAGGCCU